AGCAGUAUGGUGUAAGACUGCACACGGGAUUUCACUGAGGACUACCACAAAAAUAAUCCUGAGGUCCUUGUUCGAAUCAAGGUACUGCUC